AUUGAACGCUGGCGGCAUGCCUUACACAUGCAAGUCGAACGGCAGCGCGGGGCAACCUGGCGGCGAGUGGCGAACGGGUGAGUAAUAUAUCGGAACGUACCCUGGAGUGGGGGAUAACGUAGCGAAAGUCACGCUAAUACCGCAUACGAUCUAAGGAUGAAAGUGGGGGAUCGCAAGACCUCAUGCUCCUGGAGCGGCCG
rnacentral:rRNA from 1 species